GGUUUAUUUUUUUGUUUUUUUGUUAUUUUUAAAAAAAAUUUUGUGAUUAUAACUAUGCUAAGUACAUGAAGCCCUGAAGUUGCACACCCCAGUACAGUAGGUGGCGGUAUGCACCUGAACAAGUUGGUUGCGACCCGCCAGUAAAACCAGAGAGAGCGAGAGAGAGAGAGAGAGACCGGUUAGACACUUGUCAACUUUCUUCCACGUCUUCAAGAUUUCUUUUAUCGUCGACUUCAACCUGAGAUUCAGUGAACUGUUAAAGUUGGAUGUAUUAAUUCGGUUCGCACGCAUUUGAACUCAUCUUACAUGUGUUCAAAUGUGUCGAUAGAAAGAAUAACGUGAGGAAGAGCUUGCAACGGGACAGUUCCAGAGGCCACUGGACAACUAUGAAGCUACUUCACCCAUCAAAGAGCCUCCUUUAUUUGCUCCUAACCUUCGGACCCUUUCUAGGUGGGAUGUUGAUCCCUGUUGCAGUGAACAUUGGGGAUACUGCGAUUUUCACUUGUAAUGAGACAUGUAAUGGACAUCUCUUAUGGACAUUCCACACUAACAAUGAAAAUCUGGAAGUUUUAAAAUGUAUCCAAGAGAUUUGCACCAAAGGAGACAACUUUAAGAACAGAGUGAGCCUUAAGCCUGGAAACAUGUCUCUAGGCCUGUAUCCUGUUCUGUACAAUGAUGAAGGCUGGUACAUGGUCAAAUGUGAUUCAGUGUUUUGCUGUGAAUUCCACUUAGAAGCUCUUGUACCAACUACUGUGAGCACCUCAGUCAGAAGCAACAUCACACUACCCUGCUACGCACGCACAGAGAAACGAAUUACUGAUGACGCUGUGAACAUCCUGUGGAAAAAAGAUGGCCAAACGGUGUUACAAGUUCAAAAAGGAAUUACAACAUAUGGCUCAGGUUUUACAGGCAGGGCAUCAAUUUCACUUCACCAUUAUAAGCACGGAGAUCUUUCCCUUAACAUGCUCAGGGUCACCACAUCAGAUAAGGGAUUGUUCCGGUGCUAUCACAGAACUACAGAAGAACAGGGUUAUCCUGGUGCUGUCACUCUCAAUGUUACAGCUGAUCAAAAGUUCUAUGCAAAAAAGUUUGGUGGAAAUCUCACCCUGGACCUGUUUGGCUCUGACCGUGUAAAGGUAACUUUCACCGGUCAUGAUGCAGAUGAGACCCCUGUUUGCAGUGUGUUAGGGAACAACACUACAUGCUCAUCUGAGUACACGCACAGAGUGUCUGUCAUAAAUGACUUCCUCGUGCUGCGCGAGUUAACGUCCACUGAUACAGGCACAUUUACUGUGAAAAACAAGAUGGAUGAAGUCAUUGGUGUCAACACUGUCACUGUGGAGGGUGUGACCCAGAGACAUCACUACAUAACUCUGCCUGUGCUAAUUGAUUUCAUUCUCAUUUGCCUGUUCCUUUGCUGCCAAUAUCAUAGACAGUCGCAAGCACAGCAGUAUCGCUGCAGUUAUAAUGCAAUACAGUCUAAUGUGAAUAUAAAUCCAGAACCGAUGAGAGAGCCUGCAUGCAUUGGAUUGUCGCAACAAGAAACCAACCCAGAGCCUGACGUUCGUCCACACACACCUGUCGAGGAGACCAUGCCUGAGCCUGUGAGGCCCACUGAGAAGCAAGACAACACUGAAGAGUAUAUUACUUGUGGAAUAGGAAUUGGAGAAACAGUAUAGGAAUACUUUUAAGAGAACUGAAAAACUGCUCAAAUGUUCUUCCUCUGCUGUAUUAUAUGCUAUGAAAAAGAUGGCAUUAGAUUUAAUUGGAUAUUCUUUGAGCAACUGCAUAACUGCCAGUGAACAAUAUGUGAAACUUGAAGAGAAAUUAAUUAUAUUUUUACUUCAGGAAGGCCUUAUAGCUGCAGUCUUGUUGGUAAAAUUUAGGAAAAAAAUGUUUUGGCAAAAAAGAUCAAUUUUCCAUCAAUAGUGUAGCGAUGUAUGAAGCACAGCUCACACAGAAGUCACUUUCAAUUCCAAUUAGCCACAGAAUGUAAAAUUAAUGUAAAAUACUUUAAUUACAAAUCACAUAAUGGCCUUUUUCCUGAUAUGUUUACAUUGCUGAUAGGCAUCUUAAAUCAUUAAGGUUGGGCUGCACAACUAUUAUUCUUGCCAUAAUGAUAAUGUCAGAUGUGGCCACACUGUGCUGCUUCUUAUUAAGCAUUAUUCAGCACUUUUUCAUGAUAAACUUUAUUCUGCACUUUUUCUAUUCUACUACUAAACUUGUGGUAUAAGCUUUUUUUAUUGAAUUGGUUUUAUUAAGUAAAAAAAAUAAAGUAAUACACACAAU
rnacentral:lncRNA from 1 species